UACGUAGGGGGCAAGCGUUGUCCGGAUUUAUUGGGCGUAAAGAGCGUGUAGGCGGCUAGAUAGGUCCGUUGUGAAAACUCGAGGCUCAACCUCGAGACGUCGAUGGAAACCAUCUGGCUAGAGUCCGGAAGAGGAGAGUGGAAUUCCGCGUGUAGCAGUGAAAUGCGUAGAUAUGCGGAGGAACACCGAUGGCGAAGGCAGCCCCCUGGGCUAACACUGACGCUCAUGCACGAAAGCGUGGGGAGCAAACAGG
rnacentral:rRNA from 1 species